UUGUUUCGGAAUUAAGCAUAGCGUGCACUUAUAUCUUUUCGGAAUUAGUACGACGAUAUACAUAAUUUGCCUAUGCAUGCCUUUACUACGCACACCUUAAAAAAAUUAACCAAACGGGUAUAAAAGCACUCCGACUUGUGAAUCUUAAGCCAUUCCGAAUAUCUAAAACUGUGCAUCCAAUUUUCUCACAUAUCUUUCAUAAAAAUACGUAACGACGACUACGUAUUUUUUGUCAUCAUUUAGCAUAAAUUUGUCCUCUUUUUCGUAUUCCUCCUAACCAUUGGACAGGGAGACCUCUUAUCGCAUGACGACGCGGUGAAUAAGCUUAAAGAAUGGGGAAUUAAACUCAACUGCUAUGAUGCUAAUAGAAAUAACAAGCAUUGUACAAGUUUGCAAGGCAUUCGUUCCGAUACUAUCGAGUGGCUCAUAAAUUUUAAGAGGACGAACGACUGUGAAUUCGUUGUCACUGGGGGAACCGAGCAUGCCCACCGGGGUAGUGGGGUCAACACUCAUGAUGUGACCUUCGAAUUAACGAUUGUCUCAACAAAUACAUACAUCAGAAAUAAUUUUCAAUUCGUUUGCAACACCAGCUUGGGGCCAAAAUAUUUGUCCGGAUCCGGAGCAAUUCUACUGAAUGAGACAAAUUAUCCACGCCAUUUUGAUGCCCUCUGGCCUGCUGAACGAGUGACUAAUUUGAGUCAAGUUAGACGCAAUACUAAAUGCAAGUAGAAAUUGUAUUUUGAGAUCUCAACAACAAUUUGAUUUGAUCAUUUCUCUAAACUUGUGAGUUAAUUGGGGUCGAGAUAAGUUUUUUCCGCUGUGAAAAGUGUAAUGCUUAAAUAUAAAAUAUAGAUGUGUCCAAGGUUUUGAAUUUUUUUUCCUGUUCGUUAAAUUAUGCUUGGAUUUUCAGUGAUUAUCCUCCUUGUCGCCAUGAUGAGGACGUCUUCUCACGUUUGUAGACAUAGAUUAUGGGAAAGCAGCCGAAAUUUUAUGAAAAAUAAAAAUAAGCACGUGAUAAAAUUUCAAAAAACUUGUCAUUUGUAAUUAAUAGAGAUUAUUUCUGAUUAAAUAAAUCAUUUUUCCGAUUGGCUUGUCUGAUAAACUCAA